rnacentral:rRNA from 1 species
AUUGAACGCUAGCGGGAUGCUUUACACAUGCAAGUCGAACGCGUGGCGGACGGGUGAGUAAUAUAUCGGAACGUGGCCAGUAGCGGGAGCUAACUACGCGAAAGCGUGGCUAAUACUGCAUACUAUUGUAGCGGACGAUAUCGGAUUAGCUAGUUGGUGGGGUAAAGGCCAACCAAGGCAACGAUCCUUAGCUGGUUUGAGAGGACGACCAGCCACACUGGGACUGAGACACGGCCCAGACUCCUACGGGAGGCAGCAGUGGGGAAUCUUGGGUAAUGGAGGAAAACCUGAUCCAGCCAUCCCGCGUGUAUGAGAAGGCCUUCGGAUUGUAAAGUACUUUUGGCAGAGAAGCGGUAUCUACCGAGUAAGCACCGGCUAAGUACGUGCCAGCAGCCGCGGUAAUAC